CCUACGGGUGGCAGCAGUGAGGAAUAUUGGUCAAUGGGCGCGAGCCUGAACCAGCCAAGUAGCGUGAAGGAUGACUGCCCUACGGGUUGUAAACUUCUUUUAUCAGGGACUAAAGUGUGGCACGUGUGCCUUUUGGUAUGUACUUUAUGAAUAAGGAACGGCUAAAUCCGUGCCAGGAGCCGCGGUAAUACGGGGGAUAUGAGCGUUAUCCGGAUUUUUUGGGGUUAAAGGGAGCGUAGAUGGGUUGUUAAGUCAGUUGUGAAAGUCUGGGGCUUAACCCUGACAUUGCAUUUGAUACUGGGAGUCUGGAGUGCAGUAGAGGUAAGCGGAAUUCCUGGUGUAGCGGUGAAAUGCGUAGAUAUUACGAAGAACACCGAUUGCGAAGGCAGCUUACUAAACUGCCACUGACAUUGAGGCUCGAAAGUGUGGGGAUCAAACAGGAUUAGAUACCCCAGUAGUC
rnacentral:rRNA from 1 species